rnacentral:rRNA from 1 species
GAUGAACGCUGGCGGCGUGCCUAAUACAUGCAAGUCGAGCGAACAGACGAGGAGCUUGCUUCUCUGACGUUAGCGGCGGACGGGUGAGUAACACGUGGAUAACCUACCUAUAAGACUGGGAUAACUUCGGGGAACCGGAGCUAACACCGGAUAAUAUAGUGAACCGCAUGGUUCAAUAGUGAAAGACGGAUUUGAUGUCACUUGUACGUGGAUCCGCGCCGCAUUAGCUAGUUGGUAGGGUAACGGCUUACCAAGGCAACGAUGCGUAGCCGACCUGAGAGGGUGAUCGGCCACACUGGAACUGAGACACGGUCCAGACUCCUACGGGAGGCAGCAGUAGGGAAUCUUCCGCAAUGGGCGAAAGCCUGACGGAGCAACGCCGCGUGAGUGAUGAAGGUCUUCGGAUCGUAAAACUCUGUUAGUAGGGAAGAACAAAUGUGUAAGUAACUAUGCACGUCUUGACGGUACCUAAUCAGAAAGCCACGGCUAACUACGUG